rnacentral:tRNA from 1 species
GGUAAAAUAAUUUAAUUAAAAUAUUGGUCUUGUAAAUCAAAUUUAGCUUUGCUUUUUAUCA